rnacentral:misc_RNA from 1 species
CUGCCCUCAAGCACGGCUUGUGUGUUGGGCCCCCGUCCCCGCCUCACCGCGGGGACGGGCCCGAAAGGCAGCGGCGGCACCGCGUCCGGUCCUCGAGCGUAUGGGGCUUUGUCACCCGCUCUUGUAGGCCCGGCCGGCGCCUGUCGACACCAACCCCAAUUUUUCUAA